GCUGGGAUAGCUCAAUCAGUAGAGCAUGAGACUCUUAAUCUCAGGGUCGUGGGUUUGAGCCCCGCGGUGGGCA